GUGGGUAUAUCUUAGUGGUAGAGCACAUGCUUAACAUGCAUGAGGUCCUGGGUGCAAUUCCCCAGUUUCUGUU
rnacentral:tRNA from 1 species